CGACUAGCAGUCUAGGGUUCCGUUAACGACGGCUCGGCGCGGCAAUAACGCGUUUGGCAUGUAGUUAAGCCUGGUCCAAGAGACGGCGUAUAGAUGAAGCGGCGCGAGCGGCCGCCCGUCUAUAUAACACGGAAGGAUAAAAGCCUGGGAGAU
rnacentral:sRNA from 2 species